GAAUGAUCAAGUGAAAUAAGGGCAUCUGGUGAAUGCCUUGGCACACACAGGCGAUGAAGGACGUGAUACGCUGCGAUAAGCCAUGGGGAGCUGCGAAUAAGCUUUG
rnacentral:rRNA from 1 species